AUGGCUCUGGGUAAACCAGUUGAUGAAGUUCAGAAAAAAAUAAGCGGUUUGAAGCAUUUUCUCAGAUGGGAAAAAGAGAUGGUCAAGAAGCUGAGCCAAAUUGAAACAGCAGGCCUUAAUACCGAAUCAACCUCAUCGGCGUUCAGAAGACUGAAUUUUCUAACGGAUGGAAAUAAGUCACAAGAAAGAGUUAAUUCAAAAAUGGCAGAUAUGGCAUCUAUAGAUAGAUUAGCUGACAGUGUCGAUGACGAAGCUCGAUCCGAAAAGAGCCACAAUUCUGAUACCUCAGCUCUUGCGAAUGUAACACCCAAUAAUGUUCGAACCUCAUCAGCAUCAACACAACAUUUCUCGAAGCAAGGAAGCGGCUUUUUGAGGAGCACAGUAAAAAAUUCAGCGAAGACCUGCUUAACUACGUGUGCAUGUUCUGGAGUAGCAAAUAAUACCUCUGCAGUCCCGGCGAAAGAUGAAUGCGACUAUUUUGGUUUAUACGUUGCGGGGAAAUUGAGGAAUUUCGAUCGACACGCGAGAGCCGAGGCGGAGAGUGAAAUCACAAAAGUUCUCUUACGUGCGGAAAUGGACCUUGGCGAAUCACUAGUUUCUUCAGAAAUUUCCUGGACGGGCUCUGAACCCUUCAGCAGCCGCCUUCCUAGCAGCACACCUCACAAAAAACACCGGCCGCGGUCGUUUAAUCCUAGAAGUUUGGCUUUUAAUGAAACCUGUCAGCCUCAUUCUCGUUCGGAAUUUUUACCGAUGUCUGACGUCAUGAGGGAAACUACCUCUUGGACAUUAAACGCGUCUUCAUAAUCAUUAACGUUGGUGAAUUAAAAAUAAUUAAGAAUUCUCAAUUUUAUACAAGAAAAAAACGUGUAGUAGAAAAUUUGGGUUUAGAAUCACAAAAAAAAGACGCGCACACACACUCACCCUUACCAACGCACUCUAAAGAACACAUCUUAAGAAUUUGAUACAUUACCACGUUAAUUGUUACAUUUAAAAUUUUUGUCUUUUUUCUUGUGUCCAUUUUUAAGUACCUACAUAUUUUUACUAAUGCAUCGUAAUGUUUUUGCAUUGUCUUUUUUAUAAUUUCAUGAGUAAACAGCUCAAAAUAAAUCCAGU
rnacentral:lncRNA from 1 species